UGGGCGAAAGCCUGACGCAGCAACGCCGCGUGAGUGAUGAAGGAUUUCGGUUCGUAAAGCUCUGUCAAGUGGGAAGAAGUUAUCAUAUAUGAAUAGUGUAUGGUAUUGACGGUACCACUGAAGGAAGCACCGGCUAACUCCGUGCCAGCAGCCGCGGUAAUACGGAGGGUGCAAGCGUUAUUCGGAUUUACUGGGCGUAAAGGGAGCGCAGGCUGCCAGAUAAGUCAGAUGUGAAAGCCCGGGGCUCAACCCCGGAAGUGCAUUUGAAACUGUCUGGCUUGAGUAUGGUAGAGGGAAGUGGAAUUCCAGGUGUAGCGGUGAAAUGCGUAGAUAUCUGGAGGAACACCGGUGGCGAAGGCGACUUCCUGGACCAAUACUGACGCUGAGGCUCGAAGGUGUGGGUAGCAAACAGGAUUAGAUACCCUGGUAGUCCACACAGUAAACGGUGAUCACUAGGUGUUGCGGGUAUUGACCCCUGCAGUGCCGCAGCUAACGCAUUAAGUGAUCCGCCUGGGGAGUACGGUCGCAAG
rnacentral:rRNA from 1 species